AACGAACGCUGGCGGCAGGCCUCAAACAUGCAAGUCUAGGGGGUGUAGCAAUACAUCACCGGCGGACGGGUGCGUAACACGUGGGAAUAUACCUUUUGGUUCGGAACAACGCAGGGAAACUUGCGCUAAUACCGAAUGUGCCCCUUACGGGGGAAAGAUUUAUCGCCUUUAGAGCGGCCCGCGUCUGAUUAGCUAGUUGGUGAGGUAAAGGCUCACCAAGGCUACGAUCAGUAGCUGGUCUGAGAGGAUGACCAGCCACAUUGGGACUGAGACACGGG
rnacentral:rRNA from 1 species